GUGGGGAAUAUUGCGCAAUGGGGGAAACCCUGACGCAGCGACGCCGUGUGAGGGAAGAAGGCUUUCGGGUCGUAAACCUCUGUCAGAAAGGAAGAACCUCCCAAGUCCGAAUAGGGCUUGGGACUGACGGUACUUUCAAAGGAAGCACCGGCUAACUCCGUGCCAGCAGCCGCGGUAAUACGGAGGGUGCAAGCGUUAAUCGGAAUCACUGGGCGUAAAGCGCGCGUAGGCCGCUUUGUAAGUCGGACGUGAAAGCCCUCGGCUCAACCGGGGAACUGCGUUCGCUACUGCGAGGCUUGAGUCCUGGAGAGGGUGGCGGAAUUCCGGGUGUAGGAGUGAAAUCCGUAGAUAUCCGGAGGAACACCGGUGGCGAAGGCGGCCACCUGGACAGGUACUGACGCUGAGGCGCGAAAGCGUGGGGAGCAAACAGGAUUAGAAACCCCGGUAGUCC
rnacentral:rRNA from 1 species